rnacentral:rRNA from 1 species
GAUGAACGCUAGCGGCAGGCCUAAUACAUGCAAGUCGAACGAUACUUUCCAGCUUGCUGGAGAGGAAAGUGGCGCACGGGUGCGUAACGCGUAUGCAACCUACCUUCAUCAGGGGGAUAGCCCGGAGAAAUCCGGAUUAAUACCGCAUAAAAUCACAGGAUGGCAUUAUCCAAUGAUCAAACAUUUAUGGGAUGGAGAUGGGCGUGCGUGUCAUUAGCGAGUUGGCGGGGUAACGGCCCACCAAGGCGACGAUGACUAGGGGAUCUGAGAGGAUGGCCCCCCACACUGGUACUGAGACACGGACCAGACUCCUACGGGAGGCAGCAGUAAGGAAUAUUGGUCAAUGGAGGGAACUCUGAACCAGCCAUGCCGCGUGCAGGAAGACUGCCCUAUGGGUUGUAAACUGCUUUUAUCCGGGAAUAAACCUAAAUACGUGUAUUUAGCUGAAUGUACCGGAAGAAUAAGGAUCGGCUAACUCCGUGCCAGCCGCCGCGGUAAUAC